GUGCCAGCCGCCGCGGUAAUACCGGCAGCUCGAGUGAUGUCCAAUAUUAUUGGGCCUAAAGCGUCCGUAGCUGGCCGCGCAAGUCCGUCGGGAAAUCCACCUGCCCAACAGGUGGGCGUCCGGCGGAAACUGUGUGGCUUGGAACCGGAAGGCUCAGAGAGUACGUCCGGGGUAGGAGUGAAAUCCCGUAAUCCUGGACGGACCGCCGGUGGCGAAAGCGCCUCGGGAAGACGGACCCGACAGUGAGGGACGAAAGCCAGGGUCUCCAACCGGAUUAGAAACCCCGGUAGUCC
rnacentral:rRNA from 1 species